UGAAAAGGUCAUCUCCGCACAGUAACCCG
rnacentral:sRNA from 1 species